rnacentral:rRNA from 1 species
UACGGAGGAAAAGAAACCAACUGGGAUUACCUUAGUAACGGCGAGUGAAGCGGUAAAAGCUCAAAUUUGAAAUCUGGUACUUUCAGUGCCCGAGUUGUAAUUUGUAGAAUUUGUCUUUGAUUAGGUCCUUGUCUAUGUUCCUUGGAACAGGACGUCAUAGAGGGUGAGAAUCCCGUUUGGCGAGGAUACCUUUUCUCUGUAAGACUUUUUCGAAGAGUCGAGUUGUUUGGGAAUGCAGCUCAAAGUGGGUGGUAAAUUCCAUCUAAAGCUAAAUAUUGGCGAGAGACCGAUAGCGAACAAGUACAGUGAUGGAAAGAUGAAAAGAACUUUGAAAAGAGAGUGAAAAAGUACGUGAAAUUGUUGAAAGGGAAGGGCAUUUGAUCAGACAUGGUGUUUUUUGCAUGCACUCGCCUCUCGUGGGCUUGGGCCUCUCAAAAAUUUCACUGGGCCAACAUCAAUUCUGGCAGCAGGAUAAAUCAUUAAGAAUGUAGCUACUUCGGUAGUGUUAUAGCUUUUUGGAAUACUGUUAGCCGGGAUUGAGGACUGCGCUUCGGCAAGGAUGUUGGCAUAAUGGUUAAAUGCCGCCCGUCUUAA